CCUACGGGCGGCUGCAGUGGGGAAUAUUGGACAAUGGGGGCAACCCUGAUCCAGCCAUGCCGCGUGUGUGAAGAAGGCCCUCGGGUUGUAAAGCACUUUCAGUGAGGAAGAACGCCUGGUGGUUAAUACCCAUCAGGAAAGACAUCACUCACAGAAGAAGCACCGGCUAACUCCGUGCCAGCAGCCGCGGUAAUACGGAGGGUGCGAGCGUUAAUCGGAAUUACUGGGCGUAAAGCGCGCGUAGGUGGCUUGAUAAGCCGGUUGUGAAAGCCCCGGGCUCAACCUGGGAACGGCAUCCGGAACUGUCAAGCUAGAGUGCAGGAGAGGAAGGUAGAAUUCCCGGUGUAGCGGUGAAAUGCGUAGGGAUCGGGAGGAAUACCAGUGGCGAAGGCGGCCUUCUGGACUGACACUGACACUGAGGUGCGAAAGCGUGGGUAGCAAACAGGAUUAGAUACCCUAGUAGUC
rnacentral:rRNA from 1 species